GACGAACGCUGGCGGCGAGCUUAACUCAUUCAAGUCGAACGGAAAGGCCCUGCUUUUUUGCGUUGCUCGAGUGGCGAACGGGUGAGUAACACGUUAGUCACCUGCCCUUGACUUUGGGAUAACUUCAGGAAACUGGGGCUAAUACCGGAUAGGAGCUCCUGCUGCAUGGUGGGGGUUGGAAAGUUUCGGCGGUUGGGGAUGGACUCGCGGCUUCUCAGCUUGUUGGUGGGGUAGUGGUUUACCAAGGCUUUGACGGGUAGCCGGCCUGAGAGGGUGACCGGCCACAUUGGCAAUGAGAAACGCCCCAUACUCCGACGUGAGCAAUCAGUGUGGCAGAUAGCACAGUGAGACGAGUUCUAAUGCAGCACUGCAGGAUGCGGGAUCCAGGCCUUCGUAUAGAGAGCCGCGUUCAGCGGUAGCGAGGAGUGUGGGAGGUGAAUGGGUAGAUGGGCAAGGGCUAGCUACGUG
rnacentral:rRNA from 1 species